ensembl:lncRNA
GUAAAUGAAUACCCAUAAACACACUGUGUACACUGAGAUUUUAUGAUGAAGAGUGUGGGACCAGAUGGCCAAGCUGGUUAUGACCACGUCAUUAGGCUAGCCGACAGUCUGGUUGACCUGCCCCAUCAGGGGUUUGUCACUCAGAGUAAGGUGGAUGAGAUUGUCGUGCUGUGGAACAACCUGUCAGAUCAUGACAAGGGCCCUCUCAUCUAUGUAUCUUGGCUAUAAUCAUAACCAGUCUCGUUACCAAUGUUAUCCACUUGUUUGACCG